rnacentral:rRNA from 1 species
GAUGAACGCUGGCGGCGUGCCUAAUACAUGCAAGUCGAGCGAACGGACGAGAAGCUUGCUUCUCUGAUGUUAGCGGCGGACGGGUGAGUAACACGUGGAUAACCUACCUAUAAGACUGGGAUAACUUCGGGAAACCGGAGCUAAUACCGGAUAAUAUUUUGAACAGCAUGGUUCAAAAGUGAAAGACGGUCUUGCUGUCACUUAUAGAUGGAUCCGCGCUGCAUUAGCUAGUUGGUAAGGUAACGGCUUACCAAGGCAACGAUGCAUAGCCGACCUGAGAGGGUGAUGGGCCACACUGGAACUGAAGCACAGUCCCUACUCCUACGGGAGGCAGCAGUAGGGAAUCUUCCACAAUGGGCGAAAGCCUGACGGAGCAACGCCGCGUGAGUGAUGAAGGUCUUCGGAUCGUAAAACUCUGUUAUUAGGGAAGAACAUAUGUGUAAGUAACUGUGCACAUCUUGACGGUACCUAAUCAGAAAGCCACGGCUAACUACGUG